rnacentral:tRNA from 1 species
GGGUGGUUAGCUCAGUUGGGAGAGCACAGGCAUCACACGCCUGGGGUCGCAGGUUCGAUCCCUGCACCACCCACCA